rnacentral:misc_RNA from 1 species
AAGUCGUAACAAGGUUUCCGUAGGUGAACCUGCGGAAGGAUCAUUACUAAAGAUGGUUUGAGACUGCAUCCUUCCUUCUUGGGUGCGUGCUCGACCUUUUCAUCCACAUACACCUUUGUGCACCAUGGGGACGCAAGUCCCCCUUUUCACAAUAAACCCCUAGUUAUAAUGCAUGUCUUAUAAUACUCUAUGGAGUAAAAAUACAACUUUCAGCAAUGGAUCUCUUGGCUUUC